GGGUCUUAAGAGAGUUGGACACAUUCAAAACACAAUAUGUGAUUAAGAAGAUGAUGAAUGACUGUAGCUGCAGACCUUUACAAGGACAAUGAGAGCUCCUAAUGGAGGUGCUAAGGCAGCUGGCCCAGAGGCAGUAAAGUUGGCAACCUCAUUGGCUCCCCUUGAGAGUCCGGCCCACCACAACCAUUCUUUUAGAUAUGCAUGGUCACUUAGAUCUGUUUUCAUGGUUCCUAUCCUGGAAUAAUAACCCAAAGUAGCUCAUCUUCCUAGAGGCUGAUGCCAUCGAAACCUGAUCAUCUGUCAAUCUUAGUUUUAGUGGUGAAGGCUCAUGGUGGAUUUUGCCUAGCAGUUCAUAAUUUGUCUCAAGGGUGCCUGAGUGUCUCAGUGUCUCCAGAAAGCCCUUCGUGGUUGUUUCUGGAAUGAGUCCCAGUGCUCACCUCGCACAGGCUAUUCUUCCUCUUUCUCCAGCCAUUGCCUGUUUGACAUGAGAUGUGUCCUUCGAUAAGUCAGUAGGGGAUUACCUCAAGGCAGGAGACAACUAAGGCUCCAAUAGAAAGGAUGAAUUGCAAGAAUGGGACAGAGAUCAUAUUCUCAAAAGGACUUUUUAAUAAAAACUCACUGAAAGCAAUUAA
rnacentral:lncRNA from 1 species